rnacentral:rRNA from 1 species
UACGGGGGGGGCAAGCGUUGUUCGGAAUUACUGGGCGUAAAGGGCUCGUAGGCGGCCAACUAAGUCAGACGUGAAAUCCCUCAGCUUAACUGGGGAACUGCGUCUGAUACUGGAUGGCUUGGGUUCGGGAGAGGAAUGCGGAAUUCCAGGUGUAGCGGUGAAAUGCGUAGAUAUCUGGAGGAACACCGGUGGCGAAGGCGGCAUUCUGGACCGACAUUGACGCUGAGGAGCGAAAGCCAGGGGAGCAAACGGG